AGCGAACGCUGGCGGCAGGCCUAACACAUGCAAGUCGAACGAACCCUUCGGGGUUAGCGGCGGACGGGUGAGUAACACGUGGGAACGUGCCUUUAGGUUCGGAAUAACUCAGGGAAACUUGAGCUAAUACCGAAUGUGCCCUUCGGGGGAAAGAUUUAUCGCCUUUAGAGCGGCCCGCGUCUGAUUAGCUAGUUGGUGAGGUAAUGGCUCACCAAGGCUACGAUCAGCAGCUGGUCUGAGAGGAUGACCAGCCACAUUGGGACUGAGACACGGCCCAAACUCCUACGGGAGGCAGCAGUGGGGAAUCUUGCGCAAUGGGCGAAAGCCUGACGCAGCCAUGCCGCGUGGAUGAUGAAGGUCUUAGGAUUGUAAAAUCCUUUCACCGGUGAAGAUAAUGACUGUAGCCGGAGAAGAAGCCCCGGCUAACUUCGUGCCAGCCGCCGCAGUAACAC
rnacentral:rRNA from 1 species